CCUACGGGGGGCUGCAGUGGGGAAUAUUGGACAAUGGGGGCAACCCUGAUCCAGCCAUGCCGCGUGUGUGAAGAAGGCCCUCGGGUUGUAAAGCACUUUCAGUGAGGAAGAACGCCUGGUGGUUAAUACCCAUCAGGAAAGACAUCACUCACAGAAGAAGCACCGGCUAACUCCGUGCCAGCAGCCGCGGUAAUACGGAGGGUGCGAGCGUUAAUCGGAAUUACUGGGCGUAAAGCGCGCGUAGGUGGCUUGAUAAGCCGGUUGUGAAAGCCCCGGGCUCAACCUGGGAACGGCAUCCGGAACUGUCAAGCUAGAGUGCAGGAGAGGAAGGUAGAAUUCCCGGUGUAGCGGUGAAAUGCGUAGAGAUCGGGAGGAAUACCAGUGGCGAAGGCGGCCUUCUGGACUGAUACUGACACUGAGGUGCGAAAGCGUGGGUAGCAAACAGGAUUAGAUACCCUUGUAGUC
rnacentral:rRNA from 1 species